rnacentral:rRNA from 1 species
AAUGAACGUUGGCGGCACGGAUUAGGCAUGCAAGUCGAGCGGACGUAGCAAUACGUUAGCGGCGUAAGGGACAGGAACACGUAGACUACCUGCCCUCGGGUCUGGGAUAGCCGCGGGAAACUGCGGGUAAUACCAGAUGACAUCUCCGGAUCAAAGGUGUGAUUCCGCCCGAGGAUGGGUCUGCGUCCUAUUAGCUAGUUGGUGAGGUAACGGCUCACCAAGGCGAUGAUGGGUAGCAGGUGUGAGAGCACGACCUGCGUCAUUAGGACUGAGACACUGCCCAGGCACCUACGGGUGGCUGCAGUCGAGAAUUUUUGGCAAUGGGCGAAAGCCUGACCAAGCGAUGCCGCGUGCGGGAUGAAGGCCUUCGGGUUGUAAACCGCUGUCAGUGGGGAGGAAAGCUUUGUGAAGAGCAAGGCUUGACCUAUCCGCAGAGGAAGUGUGGGCUAAGUUCGUGCCAGCAGCCGCGGUAACAC